UGAUGUCAUUUUCAUUCUGGAUGAAGAAGUCACUACAUGACUCAUUAAAAGAAUUAACAACCUCCAUCAGGAUCAGUGAGGAGAAAGAGGAGAGCAGGAGCACCAGAGCGAGGAGCUUCAUCCUGACACACGGUUUCUGUGGAAUAAGUUUACACACACUGCACUGCUCGGAAAGUCCAAACAGAGGAGCAUUCAACAGAGGCCAAAUCUGCAAUCUGCAGUGUCACACAUCUGACACACAUGCUGGGUGAACACUGGUACAACACUCAGAGUUUUUCGACUCGUAAGGAAACCCACCAGACUAUGAACUCUUUCCUGACUCGAUAAUUUUUAUUUAUUUAUUUUUUUACAAAAGUACUGUUACAUUAUAAAAUAUAAUCCUGUGAAAGUGUAAAGCUUCGCUGCUGUCAACAUUGUGUGUUUUUUUCUGUCACAGAGCACAGACCAAUCCAAUCCCUAGCUGGCCGGCUCUCCCGUCCAUUCUACGUUCAAAUGUUUGCUCCCUGGACAAUAAACUGGACUACAUGCAACUCGGACACACUACCCAGCGAGAGUUCUAAAACUGCUUGUCUUUGUUUUCACUUAAACGUGACUCAGUGACAAAGUACCAGAUGCCGCCAUUGGGCUCACCUGGUUUGGUGACAACAGAAAUGGUGCGAUAAGGGUCGCAGUGGUGGUGUGUGUUUACACAGAAUGUUUUUAGCUACUGCUCAUCAUUAUUGGAAUUUGGGACUUUUAGAUGCAGGCCAUUUUAUUUACCAUGGGAAUUCAACACGGUUUUCAUUGUCGAAGUGAACAUUCCCCCAGCGCUAAUGCUAAAGAGGCUCUAUGUGAUCUCUAUGGUGCUAUUAGUGAUCUUCAGAAUCCGACGGACUGUUUAUCAGUGACGGAGAUUUCAAGUCAUGCAAAUCUCAAAUCAGUGCUUCCUAAAUUCCAUCAGUAUGUGGAGUCUGCAAAGCGAGGGGAAAACAUGCUGGAUCUUGUUUACACAAACAUUCCUGGCAAUGACAUUUUCAUGGCCCUUCAUUUAGCCCUCACCCACCUAGACAAUAAAGACAUAAUGCAGACCGUUGAGCUACAAGCUGCUGCUUCGUCCUGCAGUAAAGUCAGUUUCAUAUUCAGACAGUCGGGUGUUUGUGGUGUUUUCUGGUCCUGUUCUAAGUUAGGAAACUCUUCAGUCUGCUAGUUGAAGUAAAACUUGGUUUUGAAUCUGGACCUUUGUUAAUGUUAUUUAAACAAGACAAUCAGAAUUGAUUUUUUUCCCUUAAAAUUAUUGAUAUAUUUUGAAAUUCGGGAUUAACAAGAGAGCUGUACUCGUCUCCACAGGAUCACCAAGACAGCAUCUCUCGAGGACAUCCACAGAUGAUCAGAGCACAACGUUCAUAUUAUUGCACUAUUAGAAUAACAGGACGUGUCGAAUAUCUAAAAAACACCUUUUAUACACAGAGUCACAUAUCAAACUCUAAUUAAACGUGAACUGCUAAAUUAUUAGACUGUUAAAGAUUAAAAAUACUUGAUAUGACCAGAAGACAUGGAAAUGUAACUGUAACAGAGAGAGAGAGAGAGAGAGAGAGAGAGAGAGAGAGAGAGAGAGAGAGAGAGAGAGAGAGAGAGAGAGAGAUUUUCUCACCAAAAGCUGCUGGAACUUGAUGUAGGAGUUCAGUAGAAGAUGUGAGAUGAUCACAGGAGGAGAUCUUUGUACAGAGAUCUUUAUCUGUAGAAGAACCGGCUGGUCUCUCGCUCUCCUGUCUCAGAUACUCACCUUUUUAUAACACUGCUGUCACGUACUGUACACUGGUCACAUCUUACAGUGAGGUUAUUGAUGAAACUUAGACCUUAUACACACAUCAGCAGUCUCUCAGUGAACAAAGUGAAUGCUUUUACACCAAAUGAUGCAGCUGCAAAGAUAUCAGCAACAGAUGGCUGAGUAUUUUUAUUCAAUUUUGAGUCAUCUUGAGUUUAUACUUUAACUCCUUACUUUUUACAAAAGGUGAACACAUCGGCAAUAGCAACAGCAUCUGAAAAGUAGAAUAAUCGCUCGAAAUGCUUUUUGAACAUUACUUGUUUUCCUAGUGUCCGCUUUGUUGUACUUGCCCUAUAACACCAUGUCGCUUGCGUCUCUGCCUUUGAGUGCAGGUGAGGACAUGUUUGAGCUGCACUCGGUGGAACUGGAGCUGGAGGCCGUGUGGAAGCAGAUCCAUGACCUGAAGCAAGCCGAGCUGCUGGAGGUUGCUCACCUGUCUCAGGUAAAUUACAGGCACAAAAUUAGUACUCCCUCCACCUCUAUUCUGUGUGUUUAUAUGUCCAAGUUCAGCGCAUCCAGGAAGAUGUCUGCCCAGGUUCUGUUCACUCCAGCACCUGGGUACCUCGGACCCUGCGUGCAGCAGUGGAAGAUGCGAGCCGGGCCCCGGUCGAGGACCUCCCCCCCUCUGCCGCCACCGGUCAUUGAGAUCCCCACCAGGAACCGCUUCGCCCCCCUUUUGCGAGAUGGUCCGCAAUGCUGUGAUCACUGGAGACUCCAUCGUCCGCUAUGUCCGUGUUGCUAUGGCUAAAGCAGGAACACUGGAGCUGUUGUUCUUCAUGCCGGCAAGAACGACACCAGCCUGAGGCAGUUGGAGAUGCUGAAGAGGGACUUCAACACCCUGGUGGAGACGGUUUACAGCACAGCACCCAUGGCAAGGAUCAUCGUGUCUGGACUGCUUCCUACGUAACAGCAAGGGAUCGAAAGAAAUCACCAUCCCCAUCUAUUGCUUUACUAGACACUCUACCACCCUUAUUGUGGGCUGAUCAUAAGAAUGAUGUGGGUCUCGUGCAGUGUACACCAUAUGAGGCUACUUGAGUACAGGGCACACAACCAGUGACCAGUAUGGUUGUCAUCCUCCUCAUCUUGAUCAUCUACCUUGGGACAGGGUUUCCCGUCCUAGCGCAUGCUUAUGACAACGAAUUCUGAAAAGUGACUGAGGGUCAUGCCAGGAACAUACUUAUAGAGAAAGAUAGAUGAUUAUAUAUGAGUUGUUUAUCCAUUAUAAGUUUAUCAUGGAUAAAAGAGGGGAAUUGUGAGAAUAAUUGUAUGAAAUACUUCAUAUUUUCUGAUAAUGUUGCAGACUUUCUGUACAAAGCACAAUGUUCUUUUCUUACAAACAAUCACAUACACACACACACACACACACACACACACACACA